UCCUACGACAACAGUUCUAAACUAACACAAUUAUACAUAGGCAACAUACUAAAUGUUGCUAAUUAUCAGCUACAACUUUACAUUGUUGCAUAAAAUUAACUCCACAUACAACAAUUUAUAAUAAUAUUGAGAGAGAGAGAGAGAGAGAGAGAGAUACCAGAACAAUAGACAUGUGUAGGAGAGCAGCUGUGGUCCAACAACAAUGGAAGCAGCUUCACUGACAACUCGACCAGUAAGCCAAGGAAUCUCACAGCCAUAGAAAAAAGCUGCUAUGCAAUUCCCACAUGCUAUGAUCUUUAGUUCCAAACUUGAAAUCUAUGUACAAGCAUGUCAUUUAGCAUUUCAGAGUCCACAUGCUAGCUGAAAAGGGCAACAAUUAGUACAAAUACUCUACAGAGACCAACAUUACAUGUGAGGGAUGUGGCUCACCUCUUUGGGAAAACAAUCAGCAUUAUUGUACCUAGUUUGGAAGAAGGUUCAUCACGUGUUUUUCUUUUGCAGCUUCCUCCUUAAUGACUGGAAAAGUACAUAGCUGAAUUAAAUGACUCAUAAUUUGGAUACCAAUUAAGCAUGCUAGCUUUCUACAAAAAUGGUAAAGAGAACUCAUAAGAAUUUUGGCACUUUAACAUAUUCAUUCCUGAGAAAAUUGAUCAAAGUAACAGUUCUCACUCCUCAAAGAGAAUCGUUAGUCACUGAAAAAACCUAAAAUCAUACCAAUUGAAUUGAAUCACUGAUAAAACCUAAAAUCGAACAAUCUAUUGAAUCAAUAAUGAAUUAAUUACCUCCAUAUUUUAGUUGAAUUGCAGAUUUUGAACGCAACGGUUAUGAAUUGUUGUCACUUUGCUUAGAUUUCCAUUAGGUAAAACUGAAAACACAUUCAAUGAAUUGGAAAUAGAAAUCAUGAUCAUGGGAAAGAAGAAUAGCCAGGCUGAUAGCUUCAGGGGUAUGGUCCAGUGGAAGAAGUUGGUGCAGAGUUGAACGUGCUACCAGUAGAGUUGUCGAGACCUUAUGAUGUGUACAUAGUGACUUACUGAUGGAGAAGCGAUUAAACAUGGAGUAUGAUUGCUCAUAUUUUGUAGUCUUCUCUUAUAUUGCUUCUCAAAUCAUUGUGUGAAGGUCUUCUUUAGGUUGGAGUGGGUGUGCUUUGGGUAGUUUGGCUGUUGAGGUUUUUGUGGAGUGGUGGUGUGUGCUUUGGGGUUUGUCUAAUUGUUGUGAGGGCUUCUUUUCAUCUAUGGUGCGC
rnacentral:lncRNA from 1 species